UGAGGAAUAUUGGUCAAUGGUCGCAAGACUGAACCAGCCAUGCCGCGUGCAGGAAGACGGUCCUAUGGAUUGUAAACUGCUUUUAUACAGGAAGAAACCCCUCCCACGUGUGGGAGCUUGACGGUACUGUAGGAAUAAGGAUCGGCUAACUCCGUGCCAGCAGCCGCGGUAAUACGGAGGAUCCAAGCGUUAUCCGGAAUCAUUGGGUUUAAAGGGUCCGUAGGCGGUCUUAUAAGUCAGUGGUGAAAGCCCAUCGCUCAACGAUGGAACUGCCAUUGAUACUGUAAGACUUGAAUGCUUAGGAAGUAACUAGAAUAUGUAGUGUAGCGGUGAAAUGCUUAGAUAUUACAUGGAAUACCAAUUGCGAAGGCAGGUUACUACUAAGUGAUUGACGCUGAUGGACGAAAGCGUGGGGAGCGAACAGGAUUAGAUACCCUGGUAGUCCACGCCGUAAACGAUGGAUACUAGCUGUUCGGCGCAAGUUGAGUGGCUAAGCGAAAGUGAUAAGUAUCCCACCUGGGGAGUACGCACGCAAGUGUGAAACUCAAAUGAAUUGAC
rnacentral:rRNA from 1 species